GUGGAGCCCAGCAGCAGCGAUGUCCCUGUGCCCCGUCCCUGCAGAGAGGGAGAGCAGGACCCUGCACCUGGACGAGCAUCGAAGUUCUGUGCUGGAGGCAACAGCAGAGGUUUGUGACAGUGGUGACUUGAUGAGACCCUCUCCCCCUGGUGACAACCCCUGUUUGCUGCCCAGCAGGCUUGGGGUGAAAAUCGAUGAGAUCCACGCAGGUACACAAGAAAAAUGAAGCUCCCGGUAGCAAUCCUGCGCCUGCACAGAAUUGUCAGCAGAUUACUUUGGUUCCAGGGCUUUGGUG